rnacentral:rRNA from 1 species
GAUGAACGCUAGCGGCAGGCUUAACACAUGCAAGUCGAGGGGUAGAAGCAGCUUGCUGCUUUGAGACCGGCGCACGGGUGCGUAACGCGUAUGCAAUCUACCUUCUACGGGGGAAUAGCCCAGGGAAACUUGGAUUAAUACCGCAUAGUUCCUUAAUCUCGCAUGAGGUUAAGGAUAAAGAUUUAUCGGUAGAAGAUGGGCAUGCGUGACAUUAGGUAGUUGGGGGGGUAACGGCCCACCAAGCCGACGAUGUCUAGGGGUUCUGAGAGGAUGAUCCCCCACACUGGUACUGAGACACGGACCAGACUCCUACGGGAGGCAGCAGUGAGGAAUAUUGGUCAAUGGGCGCAAGCCUGAACCAGCCAUCCCGCGUGAAGGAUGAAGGCCCUAUGGGUCGUAAACUUCUUUUAUAUACCAAGAAAACGACCUACGUGUGGUCUUUGACGGUAGUGUAUGAAUAAGCAUCGGCUAACUCCGUG